GCGCGGUUCGACGAAGGUCUGCGCCGGGGUGGUGAGGUCGCCGAACAUGGCAGACAGCUCGGCCGCUUCCUGUUCCGCCGCCCGGACCGCGCCC
rnacentral:tRNA from 1 species